CGCACCUCGUGUGUGGCGUUGUUUUUCUCCAUAGCUGCACAGUUGUUCGCUAGUUCUCUCCUGUGCACGUCUGAACUGGAUGCAUGUUGCAUUUUUUCUUCUUUAACCUGCUGUGUGUAAAUGAUGAAGAACCACAGCCAGCCACAGUUAUCCACAAGUAGCUACAGUUGUCUACAGUGCAGCACAGAGUUAUCUGCAACAACAAUAAACAUCAUUAACCUGGAAAGUCUGGCUGCCGUGUUCUUUAACGGGGACACCUUCAUACCUUGUGCCACUCUGAAAAUACCUACCUGGAGAACCCUCACUCCUUUUUACCCAGAUAAUUUCAUGUAUUGCAUAAAAACUCACACUUUUAUUCAUGUGCUAACCAAUGUUCCCUGUAAUUUUUCCUGAGUCUGAGCAAACACACAAACUCCCUGAGCGUCCCUUGGACCACUGUGAGCAACAUCAGACGUGUGCACUGUGGUCACACCAGCAUCACAUCCAUUCAAGUUACAUGGUUCAUUAAAAGAAUCAAAUUACAGCAUUUACAUUUCUGUUAAAACACUUUGUCAACAGGAGCCAGUUGAAGGCUGCAGUGAUUUUAGUGACACUACAAUGUAUAAGAGUGAAGUUAUUGAAUAUUUGUCUCUCUUUACUGUUGCAGCGGUUUUGCAAAUUGCAGACGGACCCUGUUCACUCCAUAGACACCAAUGUUAUUCCUGUAGCUUGAAAGACAGCUACUUUUGAUAAAACUGGGCUUGUAGCACAUUGUCUGCCUUGCAACAAUGGGAAAGAGGCACCGUUUAUGUUUUGACAGCCUAUAUCUAAUGAGUUAUUGAUGCUGGAAGCCUGAAUCUGUGAAUAUCUUUCCAACUUUACUGAACUUGGGGCCACUACCACCUAAGGAGUGAUAUGUUUAAUUUUGAAAAAAGCAUUUAGCCAUACUUAAAGCUUUAAGUGCUUUAUUAACACGGAACUAAACAUUUUGUAUUGUUUUAUUAUCACAGGUUCUGUCUGAAAAGAGGUGGCAUCAUUUUAAACAGUGAAAUCAAACUAACAAAAUGUAAUGACCAACCAGUGAGCAAUACUGGAUUCUGCAAAAACAUAAACAACUUUUUAAAAUCUAAAUCUUAUCUUAACACAGUUAAUGUAUUAACUUAUUUAUGUGUGUAUGCAUGUAUUUAUUGAUUUUUUUAGUACUGUUAACAUAUCAGAGUUCUGAGUGAUUUUUUCUUAAGAUAGGCAAAGGCCAUUUAUUGAUUACAUAGAGGCUCUUAAAUGUUUAUUAAAAACUAAAAAGCAUUUAAAAAAACAACAUAGGCAUUUAUUGAGUCACUAAAAUAGUGUAGAGUACAGACCACAUCAGCAUGAUUAUAAGCAUCCUCUGGUAAAUGAACAACCAGAUACUGAUGUCUCUCACCAUAUGGACUUCAGGAGAUGAUUAGAUGAUGAUAAACUGUGACCUACUGGUUGGGUUCUCUCUGUUCUCAUGUUUCUUACAUGUUUGUCCCCUGACAGCCGGAUCCUAAUGUUUUUUGAGCAACACACCAUACUAUGACGUUUUUACAAUGAUGGUUCUACUAUGGAACCAGUUUGACAUGUUCAGGUGUUCUUUGUGUGAAAACUCAGAGAUUUCAGGUAUCAGAAGGUGGUUUUCAACUUUCUUUGGUAACUUUCUGCUUCAACUUUAAACUAAAUUUCCUUCACUAACCCAGCCCUCUGGACUUCCAGUAAGCUGUGUUCCUAUUGGCUGUCCAGGUGGCUGCUUGGUGUUAUCAGGAACACCUGAGCAGCUCAGUGUUAUCAGGAACACCUGAGCAGCUCAGUGUCUUCCUGCUUUAUUUAGCUGCAGACAAACAUUUCCUCUGCUUCUCACCAGUGAACUGGGUUUGGUUCCGUUGCUUUAGUUUCUUCUUUAGGCGUUGGCUUGCAGCUUCCAGCAGUAAAAUCAUCUUUAAUGUGUUUCUUGGUGUGUUUUAGGGCUUUGUACUGAAUAGUUGUCUUGGUAAAUGUGGUUCUUUAGCCACAGUUAGCACAUGGUGCUGAUGUGUGCAGUGAUUAGUGGAUUUGGUCCAGCUGAGUUGUAUCUUUAUCUUGGCUGUAGUGAGUCUUCAGAGGUUUUUGGUCAGACACAUUCUGUAUUCUUGUUUGUGAAGCAACGUUGGUUGUCCAGAAGGUAAGAGUUCCUGUCCUGAUUCUCUGUUCUCAGAGGUUCUCUGGUAGGCUGCAGGAGACUUUAGCGUCUGGGUUGUGCUAGUUUGGUUUUUGUAUGGUUUCAUUUGGACGACUAUCUUGAGGCCCCUCCAUGUGGUUUAGUGAGGUUUUCUGGAACAGUUCUACAAAGCAACCUGCAGCAGAAGAGACUUUGAGAGUUUUUAUGAAGUUCUGGAGACCAGACUUUAGAGCAGCAGAAACAUUUGUCAGCAGUUUGAGCAGGAGAAGGUGAGCUUCAGAGUAGAAAUGAGACAGAAACCUUCUUGACCCGUGUGGUGAGGUCCUGUACCAAGAGUUUGAGCAGGUUGUGAAGAGUCUGUAGUUCUUUGGUCUGAAAGCACAAGAAGAGUCGACUCAUUAAAGGAGAAAACAGGAGAUAUUGUUGGUUCUUCUGUCACUCUGCAGUUUCCAGUUUCCUUUGACUGAAUAUCAAGUUUAUAUGUUAAAUGAUUUACAUUGUGAGCCCAAGAAGACUUCAAUAAACUCCCUCCAUCCCCUGGACACAACAUAUUUUAUUAAUUCAAUUCAAUUUUAUUUAUAUAGCGCCAAUUACAGUCAGAUUGUCUUGAGACGCUUUACAGAACCCAUAUGCCUGACCCCCAGAGCAAGCCAAAAGGUGACAGUGGCAAGGAAAACACCCUUUUAACAGGGAAAAAAACCUCGAGCAGAACCCGGCUCUAAUGUGGGGGGACCCAUCUGCUGCUGGCCGGAUGGGUUGAGAGGGACAGAAGAGAUAGAGAGGUGGGGGGGGACACAAGGACCAUAAAACAUACAGUAUAAUACGUGCAUGAUAAGACAGAUGAUACAUGCAAAGUACAACUAACAUGGAAACUAAUUAUAGUUUACUGCUAUGGUGUACAGCUCUGGCAUUAAAUAUACUACAUAUAUAGCUGGUGGUAAAUUCAAAAAUAUGUAGAUGAGCAAUGUUUAACUAUUAAACAGACAAAAUAUAGAAUUAGAUAAUUCAACAAGAUACAAUACAUGUCACUAUGAAAUUAAACAAAAUUUUUAAAAUACAAAUAUUAAAAAUUUCAGAUAAAAUAUUAUCCAUAAUUAAACAUUUAAAAAUACAAUUACACAAGAAGAAUAUUAAACAUUUUAAAAAAUGCAAAACAUUUAAUUAGAUUAUUAAACCUUUAAAAAGACAAAACAUUUAAUUAAAAAAUUAAACGUUUAAUUAGAAAAUUACAUCUUAAAGACAAUAAAACUUCAAAUAGGAAUUAAACAGAAAAUACAGUGAAGCAUUUAAAAAGAAAAUUAAACAUAAAAAGGUGGUAAAACAUUUAAAAAGAAAAACCUUAACAAAGAUUUAAUCAAAAAAUUAAACAUUAGGAAAGAAAAGGAAAUUUUUCAAACAAGCCGAUAAAACAUUUGAAAAAAACAACAAUUAAACAUUAAAAAGAUAAAACAUUUCGAAAUCAGAUCAGACAUUAGAACAGAAUAAAAGGUGAGAAAAGAGCAAAACUAAACAUUUAAGAAGAAUCAAACUAAAGAUAAAACCUUUGAAAGGGCACCAGUUAAACUUUAGAAGAUCAAAUUAAACAGAAGAAACAAUAAAAUGAUCAAAAGAGCAAAAACAGAUAAAGUGUUUUCUAGUCUGAAAUGAAAACAAGUUGUUUCUUCAAACAUUUCCUCUUUCUAUGUUCUUGGUUUGAUUGUGGACAGAUUUACUAAGAACUCAUUUAAGAAAACUGAUUUCCAGAUAAAGUCUACUAGUAGUUGAAGGCAUUAAUCAAACUAAUGUUACCUUCUGAUCUCCACAAACUUUACUGUUCAGUGAAGAGAAUCAAAGUUUGUUGAGGAUUUCUAAAAAACCCACAUGUGAAGGUCUGAGAAAAACUGAGAGGGAUGAUCUUAAUGUGAAAUCAAGACUCAUGGUCACAAGUUUUAAGGCUUCUGUUCACCAGAAAGUUCAAACUAACAGAGAAGUACUGAGAAACUUCUAAAAUUUCAGUCCUCAGACUGUCUGAAGGUUCAAACUAACAGAGAACUACUCAGGAACUUAGAAGAUAUCAGUCCUCAGACUGUCUGAAGGUUCAAACUAACAGAGAACUACUCAGGAACUUAGAAGAUAUCAGUCCUCGGACUGUCUGAAGGUUCAAACUAACAGAGAACUACUGUGGGACUUAGAAAAUUUCAGCCCUCAGACUGUCUGAAGGUUCAAACUAGCAGAGAACUACUGUGGGACUCAGAAAAUUUCAGCCCUCAGACUGUGUGAAAGCUCAGGUCCUGAGGACUCGGGAGGUCUGGAGGCUUGGAAAGUCUUGGAACUGAGGGUUCCACCCUCCAGCACAAAGGCUGAAGUCCAACCUCCUGAGAAAAACGGUCGAGAAAAGAGAAAGUAAAAAAAAAAACUCGAAAACGACAAAAAAUAGAUGAUAAAUGCGCAAAAAAAAGAAGAAUUAGUAUCUGAGCGAGUAGCUCAGGAGGAUAAGAAGAGGACUACCAAGCGGAGGGUCGCAGGUUCAAGACCUGCCAGUGGCAGUUUUCUUUCUUUGUCUUUGUCACACUUUUGAGAAAAUUUAAGAAGUGUCUGGUCUUGAACCAGCGACCUGCAGCUCCAUAGGCAAAUCCUUAACUCACUGAGCUACAGAUCAGAUACAAAGAAAUAAAUUCGUCGUCCCUUUGACAUCGUAGUUGGUGAAGUGACCACAUGGGUGGAGCCAAGGCGGAGUCUGGGUGGAGUCAGGGCGGAGAGUAGGCGGGGAGGUGGGUGGCGGCCUCCCCCCUCUACUCCCCCACUUCCCCCCAACCGCCCACCACACCUUCCCCCGCCCGACGAGUUCUUCGAGUCUCCACGAGUUCCUCGAGUCUCGACAGGUUUUCCCCAGUUUCUGGAGUUUCCACCAGGUCGGAGGCAGAACAAGUUAUGAAGAGGUGUUGAAGUCGGCCAGGAUGGACUGACUUUUUACAGCGACUAGAAGGAAGACGACUAGAAGAGCAGGUCUUUAACCACCAUCCAUAAAAUCCAUGGAGUUGAUUCCAGAGAAAUGAAGGGAGGUCAACUUUUAUCAACCUCCACCCAGAUGUUCAACUUCAUAUCUUUACUUGUACAUUUUUAGCACCACAAACCUUUAGUAUCACACUUUAUUAUCCUUUAUUAGGACUUUCAUGGAAUCCACCAGCAGAUUUACUUUUUGUUGACAAACUUUAUUCUUGUCAUCAUGGGACUGCAGUAUUUAAAACUCUUCCUUCUAUUUGACCUCAUGUUUAUUUUAUUGGAGAAAGUUAUUUUAGUUGUCGAUUAGUUUCUUAAAAACCAAGUAAUAAAUUGGAUUAGUCAAGAGGUUUAAAUUUCUUACUUUGUCAUAUUUUAAAUAUGACAAAAAAAUACAAAAAUAAAGCGUCUUGAGACAAUUUGACCUGUAUUUGGUGUUAUAUAAAUAAAAUUGAAUUCAAAUUGUAUGUAUCUUGUAAUGUUGGAGUAAUUCAGCCAUAUAUGUUGGAAAACACAUUUUCUUUGUCCAUUAAUCUGUUGAUUGUUUUCUCCACUAAUUCAUUUCUUGUUUUGGUUUAUAAAAUAUCAAACCCAAAUAUAUUCAGUUUACUGUCAUAAAAACCAAAAAGAUUUACAUUCAUGAUGCAGGAAUCAGGCAGUUUUUCACUUUUUAUGUUAGUUUAGUCAGAAAGAUAGUUGAUAAUGUGUGAAUUGUUGCAGCUUGUGAGCCGUAAAAGGUUUUAAUCUUUGGGGCCGAGUGUCAAAAAACAUUUAGAAACCAACAUCAACAAAAUACUCAACAAAGAUUUGAACAUCAUUAAAGGGAAAUCCAACUUUUGCAUGACAAUGUCUAAUUAAAGGACAUUUAUUUCCAACGUAAAUGUGUGAUAUUCAUCCUCUGGAGCUUUCUCUUCACAUCGUCUUCCACCUGGACUGGUUUGGUCAGGAGCAUGUGCAACAAACAUUUGAAAAACUGCACUUUAACAUCAAUGAAUGACACUGAAGUUUAAUCUCUACAUAAAUGAGACUGAGUCUGGAUGUGCUGCUCUGUCAUUAACUCCUAAGUUUAGGGAAAGUUCAAACAAAAGAGGACAGUUCAGAUAAGACUUGAGAAUGAGCUUAUUUUGAACAAACAUCUCAGACUUUCUGAGCUUCAGCACCUCUAGCAAGAUAUUUUAACAACAAGCAACUCAACAGAUCCAGAAGUUGGAGAGUUAGCUUUAGCUGAGCCAAAGAACAUGUGGGACGCUAACCUAGCAAACAUUUCAGACUUUUCUCUGUGAAUUCUGAGAAAUAAUUUCCUAUUUAAUGACAGAGCUACACAUCUUAACUCAGUCUCAUUAAUACAGACUCUAAUUCAGUGUCAUCCAUCCAUAUUAAAGUGCAGUUACCCAAAAUGUUUGUUGCAUGAGCUCCAACAAAACCUGUCCAGGUAGAAGGCCACUUUGACAAACAGGAAGUGGAAGAUUCCAAGCAGAUUUAUAGAAGGGUGAACCAGACUGUACUAAGUGUGGUCGAGUAUAGAGGGGUGUUUUGUGGUUUUUUAAGGCUGAUAAUGAUUAUUACUGAGACAUUUGGAGUAGAUAUUCAUUUGCAGUAAAUGAAAGUAUUUAAAAUCUUGGAGUUAAAUUACAAGAACACAAACUCUAACAGGAAACUUUGUUGAUACGUUUUUGUUUUGUUUACAGAUGUUAAGUUAAAGGAGUUUUAUUCGUGACGUAUAACCAAUCAAAUCACUCCAGAAGACAGAGCGACCACAGGUAGAUAAAGGCUCAGAGCCAAAGUAGCGCCUUUUUUAAAUGUAUUUAUUACCGUAAAUCAGUAAAAAAUAAAAUACUGAUAAUCAGUAAAUCAGUCAGCCCACAAUUACUACAAUUCUACAAUGUAUGUCUCUUUCCUUUGACUUGUUAUUUGUACAAUAUACGAUGUAUAUGAUGGUGUUUUUUCAUACCAAAGGCUAUACUAUGAUGUUUUCUAAGAGACAUACGAUGCUACUCUGGUUGUUCUGGCCCUGCACUCCUCCUCUGUUGUUUUCUGGAUUGUACUCAGCUGCAUGCCUUCGUCCACCCGGCCUCCGUUGACUCGUCCUGCCUGCCGUCUCUGGAGCUGAAGCUGGAUUGGAACAGACUAAAGUACAGUCCAAUCACGAUGCCAGCUGCCUCUCAAAAGGCUCCUUCAUCUGGCAGGUGGCAGCACUUCUUCUGAGGGGAAGCUGAGCUGGCCCGGCAGAACUUUGGAGAUGUGUUCCAGUGGUUGGUGGAUGUGUGGGGAGAUAGAGAGGGACCUUUGAAUUGUUCAGAAAGGAAAACAGAGAACCCAUUGGUAGUUUUAGUUUAGGGUGCUACUGCGGUGUGUUUUUGGGUUUUAAGAGGUGAACAGGAAGAGUUUUUUUCGUAUUGAUUAUCUUUUACUUUGUUCCUGGUUGGAAUGCCCAUCAAUGUCAACGUGAAGUUCACUUUUAGUUCAGUUUAUUUAUUUUUGUUUUACUAACACCCAUUUGUUUUUAACCCCCUCACAUGUUGUGUUGUUGCAAACUUCCUCUUUCAAAUAAAUACUCAUUUAACCCUCUGGAAA